UGGGGAAUAUUGCACAAUGGAGGGAACUCUGAUGCAGCGACGCCGCGUGAACGAAGAAGGCUUUCGAGUCGUAAAGUUCUUUUAUAUGGGAAGAUAAUGACGGUACCAUAAGAAGAAGCCCCGGCUAACUACGUGCCAGCAGCCGCGGUAAUACGUAGGGGGCUAGCGUUGUCCGGAAUCACUGGGCGUAAAGGGUUCGCAGGCGGAAAUGCAAGUCAGGUGUAAAAGGCAGUAGCUUAACUACUGUAAGCAUUUGAAACCGCAUAUCUUGAGAAGAGUAGAGGUAAGUGGAAUUUUUAGUGUAGCGGUGAAAUGCGUAGAUAUUAAAAAGAAUACCGGUGGCGAAGGCGACUUACUGGGCUCAUUCUGACGCUGAGGAACGAAAGCGUGGGUAGCAAACAGG
rnacentral:rRNA from 1 species